GGGCCAGUGGUUAAGCCGUGAGUUUUGGGAACUCAUAGUCGGGGGUUCGAAUCCCCCC
rnacentral:tRNA from 1 species